GCAGCAGUAGGGAAUCUUCCGCAAUGGACGAAAGUCUGACGGAGCAACGCCGCGUGAGUGAUGAAGGCUUUCGGGUCGUAAAACUCUGUUGUUAGGGAAGAACAAGUACAAGAGUAACUGCUUGUACCUUGACGGUACCUAACCAGAAAGCCACGGCUAACUACGUGCCAGCAGCCGCGGUAAUACGUAGGUGGCAAGCGUUAUCCGGAAUUAUUGGGCGUAAAGCGCGCGCAGGCGGUUUCUUAAGUCUGAUGUGAAAGCCCACGGCUCAACCGUGGAGGGUCAUUGGAAACUGGGGAACUUGAGUGCAGAAGAGAAAAGCGGAAUUCCACGUGUAGCGGUGAAAUGCGUAGAGAUGUGGAGGAACACCAGUGGCGAAGGCGGCUUUUUGGUCUGUAACUGACGCUGAGGCGCGAAAGCGUGGGGAGCAAACAGGAUUAGAUACCCUGGUAGUCACGCCGUAAACGAUGAGUGCUAAGUGUUAGAGGGUUUCCGCCCUUUAGUGCUGCAGCUAGCGCAUUAAGCACUCCGCCUGGGGAGUACGGUCGCAAGACUGAAACUCAAAUGAAUUGAAUUGACG
rnacentral:rRNA from 1 species